GCCUUCGUGGUGUAGUGGUCAGCACGCUCGGUGCGUACUCGAGAAGCCUGUGGUUCAAGUCCCGUCGAAGGCG
rnacentral:tRNA from 1 species